UGAGGAAUAUUGGUCAAUGGGCGGGAGCCUGAACCAGCCAAGCCGCGUGAGGGAAUAAGGCGCCAAGCGUCGUAAACCUCUUUUUGUCAGGGAACAAAAGCGGGCACGCGUGCCCGUCCGAGUGUACCUGAAGAAAAAGCAUCGGCUAACUCCGUGCC
rnacentral:rRNA from 1 species